GACGGAGGGUGCUAGCGUUGUUCGGAAUCACUGGGCGUAAAGGGCGCGUAGGCGGCCUCAUAAGUCCGUUGUGAAAGUCAAAGGCUCAACCUUUGAAAGCCGAUGGAUACUGUGAGGCUAGAGUCCGGAAGAGGCGAGUGGAAUUCCUGGUGUAGCGGUGGAAUGCGCAGAUAUCAGGAGGAACACCAAUAGCGAAGGCAGCUCGCUGGGACGGUACUGACGCUAAGGCGCGAAAGCGUGGGGAGCGAACAGG
rnacentral:rRNA from 1 species